AAUCAACGCUGGCGGCGUGCCUCAGACAUGCAAGUCGAACGCGAAAGGCCCCUUCGGGGGCCCGGUAGAGUGGCGCACGGGUGAGUAACACGUAGGUAAUUUGCCUUCGGGUGGGGAAUAACAGCCGGAAACGGCUGCUAAUACCGCAUAAUGCAGCGGCUCGACAUCGAGACAGUUGUUAAAGCGGGGGAUCGCAAGACCUCGCGCCUGAAGAGAAGCCUGCGGCAGANAGCUUGUUGGUGAGGUAAUGGCUCACCAAGGCGACGAUCUGUAACCGGCCUGAGAGGGCGGUCGGUCACACUGACACUGACAUACGGGUCAGACUCCUACGGGAGGCAGCAGUCGGGAAUUUUGGGCAAUGGGC
rnacentral:rRNA from 1 species